AUACCCGCUGAACUUAAGCAUAUCAAUAAGCGGAGGAAAAGAAACCAACAGGGAUUGCCCUAGUAACGGCGAGUGAAGCGGCAACAGCUCAAAUUUGAAAUCUGGCCUCGGCCCGAGUUGUAAUUUGCAGAGGAUGCUUCUGGCGCGGUGCCUUCCGAGUUCCCUGGAACGGGACGCCACAGAGGGUGAGAGCCCCGUAUGGUCGGACACCAAGCCUGUGUGAAGCUCCUUCGACGAGUCGAGUAGUUUGGGAAUGCUGCUCUAAAUGGGAGGUAAAUCUCUUCUAAAGCUAAAUACCGGCCAGAGACCGAUAGCGCACAAGUAGAGUGAUCGAAAGAUGAAAAGCACCUUGAAAAGGGGGUUAAAUAGUACGUGAAAUUGUUGAAAGGGAAGCACUUGUGACCAGACUUGGGCCGGGCGGCUCAUCAGGGGUUCUCCCCUGUGCACUCCGCCCGGCACAGGCCAGCAUCGGUUUUCGCGGGGGGACAAGACCGCCGGGAACGUAGCACCCUCCGGGGUGUGUUAUAGCCCGGCGGACGAUACCCCCGCGGGGACCGAGGUCCGCGCUCCGCAAGGAUGCUGGCGUAAUGGUCACCAGUGACCCGUCUUGAAACACGGACCAAGGAGUCGUCCAUUAGAGCGAGCGUUUGGGUGUAAAACCCGCACGCGUAAUGAAAGUGAACGCAGGUGAGAGCUUCGGCGCAUCAUCGACCGAUCCUGAUGUUCUCGGAAGGAUUUGAGUAAGAGUUUUAACGGACGGACCCGAAAGACAGUGAACUAUGCUUGUAUAGGGUGAAGCCAGAGGAAACUCUGGUGGAGGCUCGCAGCGGUUCUGACGUGCAAAUCGAUCGUCAAAUAUGAGCAUGGGGGCGAAAGACUAAUCGAACUGUCUAGUAGCUGGUUACCGCCGA
rnacentral:rRNA from 1 species